AUUGAACGCUGGCGGCGUGCUUAACACAUGCAAGUCGAGCGGUAACAGGUGUAGCAAUACAUGCUGACGAGCGGCGAACGGGUGAGUAAUGCUUCGGAAUCUACCCAAUGGCGGGGAAUAACUAGCCGAAAGGUUAGCUAAUACCGCAUAAGCCCUACGGGGGAAAGCAGGGGAUCGUAAGACCUUGCACCGAUGGAUGAGCCGAAGUCGGAUUAGCUAGUUGGUAGGGUAACGGCCUACCAAGGCGACGAUCCGUAGCUGGUCUGAGAGGACGACCAGCCACACUGGGACUGAGACACGGCCCAG
rnacentral:rRNA from 1 species